UACGUAGGGACCAAGCGUUGUUCGGAUUUACUGGGCGUAAAGCGCGCGUAGGCGGCUUUGCAAGUCGGGUGUGAAAUCCCCAGGCUUAACCUGGGAACUGCAUUCGAGACUGCAUUGCUAGAGUAUGGGAGAGGGAAGUGGAAUUUCCGGUGUAGCGGUGAAAUGCGUAGAUAUCGGAAGGAACACCAGUGGCGAAGGCGACUUUCUGGUCUGUAACUGACACUGAGGCGCGAAAGCGUGGGGAGCAAACAGG
rnacentral:rRNA from 1 species